rnacentral:rRNA from 1 species
CGCCCCCCUCGCCGCCGCCUGGGCGCGACCUCGGCGGGCGCCCCCGCCAACGGCCGCGACGGACGAACGGGCAAAAACACUCGGCGCGAUCCGCGCCAAGCGAAACGCAACGCGGGGAGGGCCGCCGCCGCCACGGCGUCCCGCCCCGACUGACGGAUAACCAAACACGACUCUCGGCAACGGAUAUCUUGGCUCUCGCAUCGAUGAAGAACGUAGCGAAAUGCGAUACUUGGUGUGAAUUGCAGAAUCCCGCGAACCAUCGAGUCUUUGAACGCAAGUUGCACCCGCGGCCAUUAGGCCAAGGGUACACCUGCCUGGGCGUCACGCCCGACGCGUUCUCCCCCCGCCCCGCGCUGCCGCGCGGCGGCGGGGGCGAGCAGGCUGGCCGUCCCUGCCCCCCCGGGGUGCGAGGUCGGCUUAAAAGGCAAGCCCCACGGGCUCGCGGCGCGACUACUGGUGGCUCCACGCUCCCCCGGCCUUGGCCGGGCCCGAAGUCGCGCCCGCGAACCCCCCGCUGGAAAGGCUGCGAGGACCCCUGCCGGCUGCCGCGCCUCCGGUAUCGGAUGCGCGCUGCUCGGAAUGCGACCCCAGGUCAGGUGGGAUCACCCGCUGAGUUUAAGCAUAUCAA